GUCUAGCUUGAUCUGAUGGCCUAGCCUCUGGCCCAGCCCCUGCAGAGGCAUCAGUGCUCGAGCCCAUCCAGGGAUGGAAGCCCAGCCAGCAUGGUCCCCCACACGCAGGAAGGUAGUGCUGAGAUCCUGGCUUUCCCAUCACACAGGCCAUGGAGGGCGAAGUCAAUGUGUGCUACAAGGAGCUGUGUGGCCCUUGGCCCAGCCACCAGCUGUUGACCAACCAGCUGCAGCGGCUGUGUGUGCUGCUGGAUGUUUACCUGGAGACCGAGAGCCACGACGACAGUGUGGAGGGGCCCAAGGAAUUUCCCCAGGAGAAGAUGUGUCUGCGGCUCUUCAGGGGUCCCAGCAGGAUGAAGCCGUUUAAAUACAACCAUCCUCAGGGAUUCUUCAGCCAUCGCUGACCUCCCGCCCAGCCCGUUGUUUCCCCCAAGGCCUCACCCUGAGCACUGGGCUUCUUCUUUCUGCUCUGGCCCACAUGUGACUCUUGAUAUUCUCCAAAGACACCAGCCGAUUAAAAAGCGUCACCUGA
rnacentral:sRNA from 1 species